UUUUUUUUUUUUUUUUUACAUAAAUUAUACGCUAUAGGAACAUUUUACAGCUUAUUUAACACUGCCUUGGAGAUCUUUCCAUGCCAAUAUAUAUACCUCUACUUUUUUUUAACUGCUACCAUAAGUAUUUUGUGGAAUGUACUACCACUGUUUAGCUGUUGCUCUGUUUUUAAAAUCACAAAUAUUCAUGGAGUAGCUAAUUUUUGGAAAGCAGCAUUUUUAAAGGUUUUUAGAGCUUAAGAUCAUGAUACUAGAUCAUCCAAUAAUAUGAUAUUGGAGCAUCCAAAGUAGCCACAAAGAAGGGGAUUAAUAUGGAAGUAGCAAAUUUCAGUCCUUUUUACACUUUAAAGAAUGAAAUCCACACCUCAGACAUGUAAGAGCAAAAUACAUUUUAAUGUCAUAGCAGUUAGAUGUCAAGCUCGGUUACAAAUAAUUUUUUAAUUCCCACAAUUUUGGAACUUUUUAGACAGUUAAGGAUACAACAGUAGUCUUUCUGCCGCUCUGAGGGAUUCACUGAAGAGGCAUCUCCACGUCACAGUUCCCAUAGCAUUUAAUGACCCUGCGACUUGGCAUUGGCAUCUACCUACUAUCCUAUGCCUCUGGGACAUAAGCCCCUCACAGGAAAAAGGCUGGGUCUUAGCCUUCUGAAAGACGCAGUAAAAAUUAUCUAGCAAGUAUAGUAUCUACUGUGUUUAUGCAUCCCCAUUUUCAGCAUUUUCUUUCUCCUUCCCAAUUCUAUUAGUUUAUCUUGAUGUCUGUUUGAAAAUGUGAAUGAUUGUUGGACAACCCAUGUUUAUGCAUAACUUUUUAUUUAAAAUUCUGGUCACAAAACAAUUUCAAACAUUCUGGAAUUCCCAAUUUUUAUUUUUGGGUUUGUGCCUAGUGGUCAAUGCUUUUAUAAUGCCUUUGAGGCACAAGGUGCUAGGGGUCACCACUUAUACCUUGUUUUAGGAUUUCCACUUUUCUUCAAAACCUAUACUUUUAGGUUAUCUUCACUAGGCAUUGUGUACAUUUGUGUAAAAUAAUCUCUAGAAAAACAAAACAAAAUUUUUGUUCUAUACUACUUGAUGUCCAGUAGAUGGCACCAAAUACCCUUUGAAGUUCAUGAUACUAAUUCCUACUUGGUGUUCCUGGCUAUUUGAUAAUUUCUUCCACCACUGCCAGGGAAUAGAAAGAGUCCGUUCUUUCAUCUAAUUCUGUGAUUAUUAUACAACCUAGUAUUUUUGUCCAUGGUUUAAGAUAAACCUGUUGGUGGGUAUCUGGCUGGCUCAAUCAGAAAAGCAUGAAACUCUUGAUCUUGGGGUUGUAAGUUCAAGUCCCAUGUUAGGUGUAAAAAUUAAGAAUAAAAUGUUUUUAAGAAAUGUUUUUAAAGAUAAACCUGUUGGUGUUUAAAUUAUUAAUUUGCUAUUUCUGCCUCAGAUUUCAACCUUUUAUCCUUCUUCUGUGUGGUUUUCAAUCACAUUGAUUCAAGGAGAAGGAUCAUGGUAUUGAAAUAAGACUGGGCUGAAAGAAAAUUAAGGAUAAGAGAAAGAAUAAAGAAAUAUGCUGAAUGUUUAUGAUAAAACACAGAGAAAAUAUAAAAGUAUAUAAAAUCCAAAUUUAAGAUAAGGAAGUCAGUGUUUUUACUAUUGUUAGUUUUAGUACUUUAGUAGAAUUCAUUUCAUUGACUUUCAAAUUUGUUUUAUAAAUAGCUUGCAAUUAAGAAAUACUCGUUAAAAAUGUUAUAUCCCCAUUCUCAUUUCUCUUUGUGCUUUCUUGAAAACCUUUAUCUUGAGUGUAUUAGCUUUCAUAAAGAAUAAGCUUUUAUUCAGUUUACCAUCAAAACCAGGAAAUGUUCCCUAUACGCCAGGCAUGGUCUAUAACGUUUAUUCUAGUUGUUAGUUCUGUUGACUUUAUUUAAUUUUAAUGGAUUUGUCAACCAUUAAAAAGGACAUGUUCAAAAAA
rnacentral:lncRNA from 1 species